CGGAGUGUAGCUCAGCCUGGUAGAGCACUGCCUUCGGGAGGGCAGGGGUCGCAAGUUCGAUUCUUGUCACUCCGACCA
rnacentral:tRNA from 1 species